GACGAACGCUGGCGGCGUGCUUAACACAUGCAAGUCGAACGGAAAGGCGCUGCGCUUGUGGGGUGCUCGAGUGGCGAACGCGUGUGUAUCACGUGUGUAUCCUGCACUUGUAUUUGGGAUAACUUUAGGAAACUGGGGCUAUUAUCGGAUAGGAUAUACUGCAGCAUGGUGGGGGUUGGAAAGUUUCGGCGGUUGGGGCUGGUCUCGCGGCUUCCGGGCUUGUUGGUCGGGUAGUGGUUUACCAAGGGUUUGACGGGUAGCCGGCCUGAGAGGGUGACCGGCGACAUGGGUACUGAGAGACGGCCCAGACGCCUACGGGAGGCAGCAGGGGAGAAUAUGACACAAUGGGCGGAAGCCUGAGACAGCAGCGCCGCGUGCGGGAUGACGGCCUUCUGGUUGUAAACCGCUUUCGCCUGUGACGAAGCGGGAGUGACGGUAAUGGGUAAAGAAGCACCGGCUAACUACGUG
rnacentral:rRNA from 1 species